rnacentral:rRNA from 1 species
UGGGGAAUUUUGGACAAUGGGCGCAAGCCUGAUCCAGCCAUGCCGCGUGUCUGAAGAAGGCCUUCGGGUUGUAAAGGACUUUUGUCAGGGAAGAAAAGGACAGGGUUAAUACCUCUGUUUGAUGACGGUACCUGAAGAAUAAGCACCGGCUAACUACGUGCCAGCAGCCGCGGUAAUACGUAGGGUGCGAGCGUUAAUCGGAAUUACUGGGCGUAAAGCGAGCGCAGACGGUUACUUAAGCAGGAUGUGAAAUCCCCGGGCUCAACCUGGGAACUGCGUUCUGAACUGGGUGACUAGAGUGUGUCAGAGGGAGGUAGAAUUCCACGUGUAGCAGUGAAAUGCGUAGAGAUGUGGAGGAAUACCCAUGGCGAAGGCAGCCUCCUGGGAUAACACUGACGUUCAUGCUCGAAAGCGUGGGUAGCAAACAGGAUUAGAUACCCUGGUAGUCCACGCCCUAAACGAUGUCAAUUAGCUGUUGGGCAACUUGAUUGCUUAGUAGCGUAGCUAACGCGUGAAAUUGACCGCCUGGGGAGUACGGUCGCAAGAUUA